CCUGCUUGUAGCUGCUGAAGGAUUCACCCUUCAUGAGCUUAAGACAGAUAAUGCUAAUGACCUAUGAAAAGUUCUUUGGAAACUGCUGAUGUGAAAGAUUAUGUGUACCUCAGGAACCUUCAGAAAGUUGGAGAAAUUUCAAUUAGACAAAAUGCCUGGCAGCAUCUUAAACAACAG